GACGAACCGUGCGAACGUUGUUCGGAAUCACUGGGCUUAAAGGACGCGUAGGCGGCUCCUCAAGUCGGGGGUGAAAUCUUUCGGCUCAACCGGAAAAGUGCCUCCGAUACUGGGAGUGCUCGAGGGAGGUAGGGGCGGACGGAACUUCCGGUGGAGCGGUGAAAUGCGUUGAUAUCGGAAGGAACGCCGGUGGCGAAAGCGGUCCGCUGGCCCUCUACUGACGCUGAGGCGCGAAAGCCAGGGGAGCAAACGGG
rnacentral:rRNA from 1 species